rnacentral:misc_RNA from 1 species
CUUUCUUCUAAGAAAACGAAAUUUAUUAAUGUCUUUGUCUCCUCUCCUUCCAAGGCCCCCACCACCUUUCUUUCUUUGAGGAACAAGACCAAACUUCAAGCUUUCUGAAACAGAUUUCAUGGCUAGCUGCCACUCUCUCUCUUGGGAAAUUCAUCAAACAUAUUCACAGCUAUGAGGUCUAAAACUCAAUCUCCCACUAACAUCAAGCUCAUCCUCCUCUGUUUCUUCUUCCUCUCCCUCUUUCUUCUCAUCAUC